GACGAACGCUGGCGGCGUGCUUAACACAUGCAAGUCGAACGGAAAGGCCCUGCUUCUGUGGGUGCUCGAGUGGCGAACGGGUGAGUAACACGUGAGUAACCUGCCCUUGACUUUGGGAUAACUUCAGGAAACUGGGGCUAAUACAGGAUAGGAGCUCCUGCUGAAUGGUGGGGGUUGGAAAGUUUCGGCGGUUGGGGUUGGACGCGCGGCAUAGCAGCUUGUUGGUGGGGUAGUGGCUUACCAAGGCUUCGACGGGUAGCCGGCCUGAGAGGGGGACCGGACACAUUGGAACUGAGAUACGGCCCAGACUCCUACGGGAGGCAGCAGUGGUGAAUAUUGCACGAUGGGCGGAAGCCUGAUGCAGCAACGCCGCGUGCGGGAUGACGGCCUUCGGGUUGUAAACCGCUUUCGCCUGUGACGAAGCGUGAGUGACGGUAAAGGGUAAAGAAGCACCGGCUAACUACGUGCCAGCCGCCGCGGUAA
rnacentral:rRNA from 1 species